rnacentral:rRNA from 1 species
AACGAACGCUGGCGGCAUGCCUAACACAUGCAAGUCGAACGAGACCUUCGGGUCUAGUGGCGCACGGGUGCGUAACGCGUGGGAACCUGCCCUUAGGUUCGGAAUAACUCCCCGAAAGGGGUGCUAAUACCGGAUAAUGUCUUCGGACCAAAGAUUUAUCGCCUUUGGAUGGGCCCGCGUUGGAUUAGCUAGUUGGUAGGGUAAAAGCCUACCAAGGCGACGAUCCAUAGCCGGUCUGAGAGGAUGAUCAGCAACACUGGGACUGAGACACGGCCCAGACUCCUACGGGAAGCAGCAGUGGGGAAUAUUGGACAAUGGGCGAAAGCCUGAUCCAGCAAUGCCGCGUGAGUGAUGAAGGCCUUAGGGUUGUAAAGCUCUUUUACCCGGGAUGAUAAUGACAGUACCGGGAGAAUAAGCUCCGGCUAACUCCGUG